UGGAAGCAGGCGGAACAGAGCCGCUCCCGCAUGAGCAUGGAGCACGAAGUGCGGGAAUGCGAAUGUGGGGAGGAUUGCGGGAGCACAGAGUGCGGAGCAAUCCGAGGUGUUA
rnacentral:sRNA from 1 species